rnacentral:misc_RNA from 1 species
UAUUGAGUACUGUCCAAAUGAAGCUCAGUUAUCGGGGAUUUUAGGCCAAGAAAAUGUCAACUAGCACGUCAGUAGGUUUUGGCACCACAAAGGUCCACCCACUUCGAGAACUGUUGUACGAAUUAAGUGAACACUUACAAGACGAUGAUUUAGAGAAGUUGAAAGUACUUGCAAAGGAUAGGCUGGGGAAAGAAUAUUACAAAACACACACUGCCUCUUCUUUCCUUAGUUCUUUAUACAACCAGUUUGCAGAUGAAGAGGACUUUGUUGAACUUUUGAAGGACUUUGUAAAUGUCUUAAGAAUUCACGUGGAUCUUGGAAGUGUUGCAUUCAGCAAUUUAUUGGAUGAAUAUCAAAAGCAACUUGAGACUGAAAGAGUGAAGAGGGAUAAACUGUUUGUUGGAAGAGGGGGUUAUGUUGACAAUAUUAUUGGAAGUUUGAAAAUGAAUGAAGAAACUAAUAAAACCAAUGCUGUGUGUAUUUGUGGUUUUGGUGGUAUUGGAAAAUCAAGUUUAGCAACCGAAAUAUGCUGGCAAAUGAAAUGUAGAAUCAAGAAAGUAGAACUCAGAUCCAAAGAAACUGUGAAAGAGUUUUUGGGAAAUGUGCUGCAGGUUUUGACAACCAAAGCAGGGGAUACAGAGGGCAUAACGGGUCUUAGCAUGACAUUCUACAGUGAAGAAGACAUGGCUAGUAAACUGUAUAGUAUUAUUCAAAUGGAAACAAGAGAGACCAUUCUCUUCCUUGAUGACUGUGAUGAGCUAAUGAAGAAAUCUAAAAGACCAUUUCUGCAUGCUAUUGACAACCUCUUGAAACAAAUCAAAAACACAAAGUUCAAGGUUAUAAUGACAACCCGUGAGAAGCUGAUUAUUGAGAAUGAGCUGGAUUCACAGCAAGCCAUUAUCAACCACAUUCAGGUGUCAAGAUUUGAAGGCCAACUACAGGAGUUUGAGUUACAGCCUUUGGAUCUACCAGAUGCUAUGAAAUUGCUCAGGCAAUGUACCCCAAAGGUUAAGAUGACUGACAAAGAGUGUAGAAAGCUGGCCAAAAAAUGUGGCUGCAGUCCUCAGGCACUGAAGAUAAUAAGUGGUGAAAUGCAGUGCGGUGAAGUUGCCCCAGCAGAGAUGAUCAAAAGGUUGCACAAAUACAGUGGGUCGAAAUUUGAAAUUCUUCAGCUUGUGAACUGUUGCUUGGAAGAAAUGUUUUCAGCCUUACAUGCCCGCUUGCAAAAGUGCUUGGUCCGCCUGUCUGUAUUCAGCGGAAGUUUUGAUUUUGAUGCGGCAAAGGCCAUUAUGGGAGGGAACAACAUCCAUGAUUAUGAUGUGCAACUAGACCUUCAUAUUCUCAAGUGUCACCAUCUAGUAGAGGUUGAUGAUUAUGACAGCAGCUUUAAGGAAGAGCUUGUCCCCGUUAUGUACUAUGGGAAUCGGAGGAGAGAGUUACGAUAUUAUCUUCAUCCAUUGGUGCAAGAUUUUGCUGAUCAAAGAGCCUGGGAUCCAGCAGAAAAGGACCUUUAUCCAGAGGGAAAACAAUCAAGAGCAAAUAUUGUACAGUUUUGUGAAAGAAAACUCUGCCAAUUUGCUAAAAUGGCACGCAAAACUGGAUACGUUGCACUGAAUGCAGAAAUACAGAAGAAUUUAGUUUACUUGAAUACAUUUUUUGUUUUAUCUCCAUCCUACAGAAAUGUUUAUGAAAUCUCAGAUAAAAAACAGUUUAUGGAACUCUUUUAUCAGUAUAUGAUAAUGGAAACAUUUGAGGUAACCUUGAAACGGUUUAUGUUCUUUGACCAGCAGGCUGAUGAAGCAAAGAAGAAAAACCAUAGGAAAACAUACUGCUUCAUGACACUGUGGAAAGCAUCAAGUGCCACAGAUUUGGACAAAUAUAGUUGUGUGAUAGAGAGCUUAGAUGACAUCAAAGCUGAAGUUGAGAAAAUCCAUGCAGAGGGUGAAGGAAACACAGCAUCAAUGUUGCUGUAUGCUUUCUUUCGAUUCAUUGAAGGCAAAUUGCAACUUCACUAUUUCAAGAACACACAAAAGGCAAAACAGGCUUUGGCUGAAUCAGUAGACAUUUUCAAACGAUUUGGUGGCAAAUCACAAGCUCAUAUAGCAAGAGCCAUUAGUUUGCUGGCAUCUGCAUAUUUUGAUGAGCAAACCUUGGAGUCCCAGACCACAGCUUUAAAACUCCACACUGAAAGUUAUGAUAUUCUUAGCAAAGAAGUAAAAAAUCAUCAUGAUAUCCCACAGUUCUUGGUCAAUAUAGCCACUGCCGAACAUGGUAUUUACCAGCAUUAUCGAAAUGACGGUGAUCAGAAAGCAGCAAUGGAACAUUGGCAGAGAGCUGCAGAUUUCUACAAGAAAGCAAUUGAAUUGAACAGUAAAUGGAAUGUUAGAAACUUUAAUUUAGCCCUCCACAUGAAAACGUAUGCACAACUCCACAUGGAGAGAGCCAUACAUGGUGAAAAGGAAUCAGAAGGGUCCAUGUCCAGCAGAGAUAUGUUUGCUAUUGCUCUGAAGUGGGCAACUGAUGCUCUGGAAAUGGGUCUAAAAUAUACUUCCAUCUACCAGGGAUAUCGAAUGCGUUUUAUGAUUUUCAGAGCAUACAUAUUGCAGCUCAUGUCAAAGAGGAAAGAAGAAGCUGAAGGGGACAGAUUAUCAUACUUGGAAGAGACCAGACAGCAGAUGAUACCCCUAAUGCAGCUGAUGAAUGGAGCGCCACCUUCUGAAGGUCUUGAAUUAGACGACUUUGAAUUCCAGAAGAUUGAAAGUGACAUAUUGCCAACAUUAGAAACUUUAGGUAGAGAAGAAGAGAUGUUACAGGCCAAGCAAAUUAUUGCGAACUACAAAGAGAAAAGAGUUUCUUGUCCUCCCUUGCAUUACCAAGAGCAUGACCAGCAAGUGUCAGUCGAGGAGUCCAGCACUGGAGACAUAGAACAACCUCCAAGGAAGAAGUUGAAAAGAAAUUAAGUCUGUCAACAUAGUCAAAAGAUUCUAAUUCUCCUGUAAUAUCAGCUUAAAAAUAACACUUGUGAGAUAAAGCUCAGCUUACAUAUGCAAUAGACAGAAUGCAAGUAAGAAUCAAGUCACUUUAGGCCCAAAGCCAGAGGGUUUCUUGGGGUUAAAACGAACUGCCCUUUUACUAGGAAAAGAUCUGCUCUGGCAUAAAUAGGGUAGAGAAAUAUCGUCCUUUGAAACUACAUGAUAUACACAUAGUUGGAAGUACAGAAACAAUCAGUCAAUUAGAAGUGUUUGCAAAAGAAGGCAAUGUUCCAAAUGUAAUAACCGCGGGUCCACCAGGCACAGGCAAGACCACCAGUAUUUUGUGCUUGGCCAGAGCUUUAUUAAGACCUUUCAGAGAUGCAGAUAUGGCUCGAGUUAAAUUCCUCUAAUGACAGGGGUAUAGAUGUUGUUAGGAACAAGAUCAAGAUGUUUGCCCAGCCAAAAGGAAGACAUAAAAUAAUCAUAUUGGACGAGACAGACAGCAUGACUAAUAGUGCUCAGCAGGCCCUGACAGGGAUGGAUCCAGGAUUAUUUGAAGGGGGGGGGGGUCCGCAGAUGCGAAUCCGACUGAUAAACUGAUAUAAAAACUGUUUCUAUAAAGCGGAUGCUGAAGAUGCCUUCCUUGGCUACAGGCUUCUUUCGCUGUAAAACUGUUUGAAAUAUAUCCCUUUUAUCACUGACAUCUUUUACAAAGGGAUUCUUGGCAUUGUUAGCUCAAACAUCCCUGAUAUAAACAAGCUUGUUUUUUUAAAAAUUCCAAAUAAGAUUAUUCUGUAUCUUUGUGAAAGAAAAAAAUAUUUUGCUGGGACAACAAAACAACAUAUUAUGAUCAAAAACAGUUGCAGAUUGAACUAGCAAUAGUAUCAUAUGCCCAAUUUAUUCUAUCCCAAACCUGACUGACUCUUAUGUGAAUUUGAAGCUUGAAACAACAUGAUCAAAAACAGUUGCAGAUAGUACUAGCAAUAGUAUCAAACGUCCAAUUUAUUCUGUCCCAAACCUGACUGAGCCUUAUGUGAAUUUGAAGCUUGAGCCAUCAUAAGAUCCCCGUUUUGUAAACCUUACAGACAUCGCUAAAAUUAUAAUAGUUUGAGUAGAAUAGGAUGAGUCGCAUUAUUUGGGGGCAUCUUGAUAGUCGAAGGUUCAUUGGUCGAAAAAUGGUAACAUUUUCAUCGUAUUUUUCAAUCAAGGGUUCAUUGGU